AGGGGUAGUCCAGUGCUAAAUUGUCGCAGCCUUGAAAAUAUUCUGCUUCGUUAUUUCGGGCACUCCACAGAUUCUGUUGCGAAGGCAGCCAUCUUUAGUUCGUCUUUCCUAGAGAGGUAAUGUAUCUUUAAUUCUUACGGAAUUAUGGAAUUUUGAAUUCAUCUUUCCUAGAGAGGUAAUAUAUCUUUAAUACUUUUUUUCUUUUUUCUUUUUUUUUUUUUGAGACGGAGUCUGGCUUUGUGGCCCAGGCUGGAGUGCAGUGGCGCGAUCUCGGCUCACUGCAAACUCCGCCUCCCGGGUUCACGCCUUUCUCCUGCCUCAGCCUCCCGAGUAGCUGGGACUACAGGCGCCCGCCACCAUGCCCAGCUAAUUUUUUGUGUUUUUAGUAGAGACGGGGUUUCACCGUGUUAGCCAGGAUGGUCUCGAUCUCCUGACCCCGUGAUCCACCCGCCUCAGCUUCCCAAAGUGCUGGGAUUACAGGCCCGAGCCACCACGCCCGGCUCUUUAAUUCUUAUGGAAUUAUUGAAUUUUGAUUUUGUACUCUACACUAAUGUACUGUAUAUUUUAUAUAGAUGCCUAAUAUGUAGCUUACUAAUAAAAUACAUUAAAGUUUCAAUACCUAUUUUGAGUAGCAUUUCAAUCCAAAUUUUUCUAUAUGUGUAAAUAAAAAGGAUAAUUUAUCUGAUUGAUAACAAUAAAGCAAAGCAAAAGAUAAAAAGGUACACAUGAAAAAUAACAAAAGCCAAACUUUUAUUUCUCAUGAAAACAUAUUAAAAUAUCUGUAUAGAUUAACUAUAUACGUGUUAAAACAAUUUAGCACACUUACAAGCAAAGUAUCUAAAUUAAUUGUUGUUGUAAUUGUUGAUGUGAUACUACUGUUGAACAGGAUGAGAAAUUGUAUGAUAACACUCUUGAUAAAAAAUAAAGAAAUGAUACCUGUG
ensembl:lncRNA novel transcript